rnacentral:rRNA from 1 species
UUGGAGAGUUUGAUCCUGGCUCAGGAUGAACGCUGGCGGCGUGCUCUAAUACAUGCAAGUCGAGCGAACAGACGAGGAGCUUGCUCCUCUGAUGUUAGCGGCGGACGGGUGAGUAACACGUGGAUAACCUACCUAUAAGACUGGGAUAACUUCGGGAAACCGGAGCUAAUACCGGAUAACAUGUUGAACCGCAUGGUAUCAAUCAGUGAAAGACGGUCUUGCUGUCACUUAUAGAUGGAUCCGCGCCGCAUUAGCUAGUUGGUAAGGUAACGGCUUACCAAGGCAACGAUGCGUAGCCGACCUGAGAGGGUGAUCGGCCACACUGGAACUGAGACACGGUCCAGACUCCUACGGGAGGCAGCAGUAGGGAAUCUUCCGCAAUGGGCGAAAGCCUGACGGAGCAACGCCGCGUGAGUGAAGAAGGUCUUCGGAUCGUAAAACUCUGUUAUUAGGGAAGAACAAAUGUGUAAGUAACUAUGCACGUCUUGACGGUACCUAAUCAGAAAGCCACGGCUAACUACGUGCCAGCAGCCGCGGUAAUA